CCGGGUCAGCGACUGCCCAAACCACACCGUGCACCGCCGUCUACCAUUCGUCUUCGCUGCGGCGGGCCGCUCGCUGGGGGAGCUCUGGGGCCGCUAGGCCGGCCCGCCGAAGCAUCGUUUAGGCAGUAGCCUCACUGGCGACCUCUGAGAACGCAAAAAUAACGAGUCA
rnacentral:misc_RNA from 1 species